GACGAACGCUGGCGGCGUGCCUAAUACAUGCAAGUGGGACGCAAGGACACACACUGUGCUUGCACACCGUGUUUUCUUGAGUCGCGAACGGGUGAGUAACGCGUAGGUAACCUGCCUAUUAGCGGGGGAUAACUAUUGGAAACGAUAGCUAAUACCGCAUAAUAUUAAUUAUUGCAUGAUAAUUGAUUGAAAGAUGCAAGCGCAUCACUAGUAGAUGGACCUGCGUUGUAUUAGCUAGUUGGUAAGGUAAGAGCUUACCAAGGCGACGAUACAUAGCCGACCUGAGAGGGUGAUCGGCCACACUGGGACUGAGACACGGCCCAGACUCCUACGGGAGGCAGCAGUAGGGAAACUUCGGCAAUGGGCGGAAGUCUGACCGCGCAACGCCGCGGGAGUGAAGAAGAUUUUCGGAUCGGAAAGCUCUGUUGUAAGUCAAGAACGUGUGUGAGAGUGGAAAGUUCACAGAGUGACGGUAGCUUACCAGAAAGGGACGGCUAACUACGUG
rnacentral:rRNA from 1 species